UCUUCCCUUGCUUGCAUUGUGUGGCAGGCUGCGCGAAGGGGGUGCGUGCGUUUUGAAGGGGCCCAGGUUGGGUCAGGGCCAGGAGAAGCAAGUGAGCCCAAGGCAGGGGCAGCCAGCGGAGCGGGCAGAGCAAAGAGUUUCGGGGGGCGCUGACCGAGGCGAAAGCCAGGCAGCCUCGAGGCCCCGGCCGGGCUGUCCCAGGCAGCUGCUGUUAGCGCGCCCGCCCGGGGGAGAACCAGUGAGGCGACCGCACCGCUCUCCUUGGCUCGCGGAGGCCAGACGACGCCGAUCCGAACAAACCACUUGGCCUGGGAGCUUUGCCCUACCCCUGGACAGUGAUCUGAGAUCUGCAAUCCAGACCGGCCUGGAAGAUGGGCAUGGAAUAAGGACACUGGCCCUUUUGCCAAAAGCCACUUUAAGAUGCCGAGAGAGCCAGGGGUGAGCUCAGGAGGGCUUAGGCACCAGAGCCCCCAUUCACUUUCUUUCUGUUUUGUAUCCUUCAAAGUUAGGAAAUGGCCAGAUUCAUUUCCCUGGCUUUCUUAAAGGAACUAGGAAAUACAAAUGGGGAGAAUCAGUCAGAUCUCAGCUCCAAAGUAGACAUCCCUUCUCUCCCAAAACACACACACUGACUUGGACACAGUCAUGAUCGUACUGCUCCCCCCGCCCCCCACUGGCACACACACAGAGUACUGAGCUGUAUUCACAAAUCCUGAUCUUUCUCUAUGGUCUCUAAGAAUUAAACUGGGAGAAGGGCUUUUUCCCCUUUGCCAACCUGGGGUCUUCCGACCAUAGUUGGGUAUGUGGCAAUGGCUACCAAGGUUGUUACUCCCUCAUGAAAAGCCUGGACCUGGGAAACCAGUCUGGAAAAUAGGAUCUCUGAACUUUACCUGAGUUUAUUGCAUGCGUAGAAGAGACACAGACUAAUCAAUAAUGCUCCCUUUAGAGAUUGUACAUGUCAGCCCUGGCUUCAAAUGAGAAAUAUUUACUACACUGACGUAGCACCCAGACCCACUUGUCUGUUGCUAUAUAUCUUUCUGGCAUUUAGCAAAAAUGGCAAGUUUAUAUAUCAGCAUUCUUAAUUCUCUAUUGUCGGUCUCAGGCAUUUGUUUUUCCUUUUAGUGUUCUACAGAUGCUGGUGUUUGGUUAUAUCAUGUCUUAUUAUAGAAUCUUAAAAAGCUGAGAUAAAUAAUGUCAAAUGGUAUCUUUUACCCAGUCUUUAAUAGCUCCUUAUUCUAAAUCAAAGGGCAUGGAAAUACAUUCACAAUAGUACCAAGUUGGUUUCAAAGCAAAUGUUUAUCCUUUUGGAAACCCACAGGGUCAGUCUCUAUUUGCAAGGUUGAGACUGAAAGAAAAACUGAAUGCCACUCGAAAUCUGUGUCAUUGUCCCUGGAAGAUGCUGCUUUUGUGAAGUUUUGUGACCAAUAGAUAGAUACACAGAUAGUGUGUAUGUGCAUGUGUGUGUGUGUGUGUGUGUGUGUGUGUUUGUAACGCUGCUUUCAUAAAGUUGUAAU
rnacentral:lncRNA from 1 species